rnacentral:rRNA from 1 species
UUUUUUUUUCUAGGAGARAGAACCAACAGGGAUUGCCUCAGUACGGCGAGUGAAGCGGCAACAGCUCAAAUUUGAAAUCUGGCCGCAAGGUCCGAGUUGUAAUUUGUAGAGGAUGCUUUUGGCGAGGUGCCUUCCGAGUUCCCUGGAACGGGACGCCAUAGAGGGUGAGAGCCCCGUACGGUAGGACCACCAAGCCUCUGUAAAGCUCCUUCGACGAGUCGAGUAGUUUGGGAAUGCUGCUCUAAAUGGGAGGUGUACGUCUUCUAAAGCUAAAUACCGGCCAGAGACCGAUAGCGCACAAGUAGAGUGAUCGAAAGAUGAAAAGCACUUUGAAAAGAGGGUUAAAAAGUACGUGAAAUUGUUGAAAGGGAAGCAUUCAUGACCAGACUUGGGCUUGGUUGAACAUCCGGCGUUCUCGCCGGUGCACUCUGCCAGUCCAGGCCAGCAUCAGUUUGCCCCGGGGGAUAAAGGCGGCGGGAAUGUGGCUCCCUUCGGGGAGUGUUAUAGCCCGUCGUGUAAUGCCCUGGGGCGGACUGAGGAACGCGCUUCGGCACGGAUGCUGGCGUAAUGGUCAUCAAUGACCCGUCUUGAAACACGGACCAAGGAGUCGUCUUCGUAUGCGAGUGUUCGGGUGUCAAACCCCUACGCGUAAUGAAAGUGAACGUAGGUGAGAGCUUCGGCGCAUCACCGACCGAUCCUGAUGUUCUCGGAUGGAUUUGAGUAAGAGCAUACGGGGCCGGACCCGAAAGAAGGUGAACUAUGCCUGUAUAGGGUGAAGCCAGAGGAAACUCUGGUGGAGGCUCGCAGCGGUUCUGACGUGCAAAUCGAUCGUCAAAUAUGGGCAU